AAACAAAAAGAGAGGGACAGAACUACAAUUCCUAUCUUUGCCAAAUAACCCCCACCCCCAGGCAAUGUUAUGAGGACAUUUUUAAUAACAGAGAAAGGCAAGUCAUAGGUGGACACAACCACCUUUGUGUUUUGCAAAACAACUCAACUUGGCAUUUAAUGGAGGCCGACUUAAUGAAUGACUGAAAAAAACACAUUUCAGAAGACACAGCUGAAAAACCACUGUUCUCAUGCCCUAACCCCUGAUCUGACAGAUGGGGAUUCUGGAAGUCUCUAGCUCCCCUGAGUCUCCUUUCACCCUGAGCGUUUCUGCUGUUGCUCCAAUGUCAGAGCUGACUCUUCCUGUGGAGAUAUCUGCCUGGAGACUAGGCAGGUGAAUACCUGCAUCGUCUGACUUCCUCCACCAGCCUCAGAAACUCUGCUACUGGGCUCAAUGUUGGUUACCAAAGAGACGGUUGGUUACCGUCCUCAUUCACGGAAAAAAAAAAAAAGCUCAUCUUUGUUUUCCCCACUACGCAUUUGAAAACUGUUGGAAAGAACGAUUUUAAUCCCUCAAAAAUGUGUGGCAUGGAGUUGUCAUCCUUAAACUCAGGAGGAAUCCCUCGCCUUAACCCUUCUAGAUUUUUCUAUGUUCUUCCUGCAGUUCUCACAUUCAAAUCAAAGUACAGAGCCAUGCAGAACCAUGCAACUCCAAACUUGGAGGGCGGUGAUGGUUGAGAAUCGAAUACAAACUUUCCCUGAAAGAUUGUACACUUCCUAGUGGUAUGAGUUCAGGGUGGUAAGUAGUGCUAAUCUUCCCCAUGUGCCUCACAGAUAAAUCUCUGACAGACUUAGGUUUUUGGUCCUCCUCUUAUCUCCCCCCUACCCCAUCCUCUCCCUCCAGCUACUUUCAUGAUAGCUCCUGUAAAAGAAGGGAUGUGGCUCUCUCUGCUCUCUCUAUAGCAUGUAUGAACCCAGGUCAAAGCGGAGUUAUGAUCUGGUACUUUCAUUUCAGGAAUUACAUCCUUCAUAUACACCAUGAGAUAUUUGAAGAAAUAUUUGUACACUUGUGUUCACUGCAGCAAGAUUGACAAUGGCCGAGAGGCUGAAGGCACCCAACUGGCCAUCAGCAGAUGAUGCAUAAGUAAUACAUGCCGUGUAGACAACGGUGUGUGUUUUGUCCUUAAAAACACCAAAGAACUGACAUAACAACACGGAAGAAAGUCAGCUACUUAUGAAGGACAGGUGCUGUGUGGUUCUGCUGUUCUAAGUCCCCUAGAGUUCACACAUAUAGAGUAAGAGAGGUUUCCUGUGUCUGGGAGGAAGGGGCAUAGGGGGUGAUCAAUGGAUUAGAAGGAUGGAGUUCCAGUGUUUCAAGAAAAAAAGAGUCCUGGGAUGUGAAGAGGGGGCAGUAACCACAGCAGGGCAGAUGUACUUACUAUCUUUCUCAGAGAGUUGAGAUUAAAUUUUGUAUGUAUUUCAUCGUAAUUUUAAAAAUUAAAGCUCACUGUUUAUAUAUCCCUUAAGAAGGGGUAAUGAAAAGUAGAGCAGUCCCAUAUGCAGGCCCAUGUAAAGCCAAUGCACCAAGCCCCUGUUCUCACAUCUGGACCAGCUUAAUGAAACCAUUGCUUUGGGGUUGG
rnacentral:sRNA from 1 species